rnacentral:rRNA from 1 species
UACGGAGGGAGCUAGCGUUGUUCGGAAAUACUGGGCGUAAAGCGCACGUAGGCGGUACAGUAAGUCAGGGGUGAAAUCCCGGAGCUCAACUCCGGAACUGCCUCUGAAACUACUGAACUAGAAUCUUGGAGAGGCGAGUGGAAUUCCGAGUGUAGAGGUGAAAUUCGUAGAUAUUCGGAAGAACACCAGUGGCGAAGGCGACUCGCUGGACAAGUAUUGACGCUGAGGUGCGAAAGCGUGGGGAGCAAACAGG